UACGUAGGGUGCAAGCGUUAAUCGGAAUUACUGGGCGUAAAGCGUGCGCAGGCGGCUAUGCAAGACAGAUGUGAAAUCCCCGGGCUCAACCUGGGAACUGCAUUUGUGACUGCAUAGCUAGAGUACGGUAGAGGGGGAUGGAAUUCCGCGUGUAGCAGUGAAAUGCGUAGAUAUGCGGAGGAACACCGAUGGCGAAGGCAGUGUCCUGGCUCGUUUCUGACGCUCAGGUGCGAAAGCCAGGGGAGCGAACGGG
rnacentral:rRNA from 1 species